rnacentral:rRNA from 1 species
CCUACGGGUGGCAGCAGUGGGGAAUAUUGGGCAAUGGGCGCAAGCCUGACCCAGCAACGCCGCGUGAAGGAAGAAGGCUUUCGGGUUGUAAACUUCUUUUCUCAGGGACGAAGGAAGUGACGGUACCUGAGUAAUAAGCCACGGCUAAAUUCGUGCCAGCAGCCGGGGUGAUGCGUAGGUGGCAAGCGUGAUGCGGAUUUAUUGGUUGUAAAGGGCGUGGAGGCGGGGGCGCAAGUCAGAUGGUAAAAGUCAGGGCUCAAACCUGAGCCUGCAUUUGAAACGGUGGUUCUUGAGUGAUGGAGAGGAAAGCGGAAUUCCGUGUGUAGCGGUGAAAUGCGUAGAUAUACGGAGGAACACCAGUGGCGAAAGCGGAUUGCUGGACAGUAACUGACGCUGAGGCGCGAAAGCGUGGGGAGCAAACAGGAUUAGAUACCCCGGUAGUC